CAUUCUUUACCCAACAUUGGUAAAGCAACGCCGCUACAAAUUUCUCUGCUCUUGGAGAAGAUUUAUUCUCUUCUUUAGUUGCAGAAGCUAUGUUGUAGUGAUUGAAGAACAACUUUGACAUUAUCUUCCAUUUUGCUUUUCUCACAAGUGCUUGAAGACGAGAUUGAAGAUCGAUGGAGAUGGUUUAAGAUUAUACAGAUAAAAUGAAUAGACAGGCAGAAAAUUCAAAGCUAUUGUCAAAAAGAUCAAGAAAAUCAACACCUUCUUCUCGAAGGAUCUGGACUCCAGCAGAAGAAAGUGCUCUUUUAGAUGGUUUAAAAAAAGUGUGUGCUGAUGGUUGGCGAGCCGAUAAUGGAACCUUAAGGCCAGGAUACUUGAUGGAAUUAGAGCACUAUUUUCAUGAACGUCAUCCUAGUAGUCAAUUGAAAGGUGAACCACAUGUUAAUAAUAAAGUAAAAGCAUGGAAGAGAUGUUAUUCAAGCAUAAGUUUAUUAAAGAGUCGAAGUGGUCUGGGAUUUCAAUAUAGUGAUGGAACCAUAAUUGUUGAUGAUCCAAAACAUUGCGAUGAAUUUUUAAGAUUGAUCCAAAACAAAAAAGCAUGAAUACUAAGAAAUGACCAAUGUUUGAGGAUUGGGAGGAACAUUUUGGCUAGGAUCGAGCGUCGGGAGAGUUCGCAGAAGGGCCGCUAGAUGCUGCUGAGGAUAUUCUAAGGAGUCAAGCUUCAGGACUUUCUAAUGACAUGAGCUUAGGAUGGCCUAUUGUUGUUGAUGAAGAAGAAGAAGAUGAUGCUGGUGAUGGACCUAAUAUAGCUACUGGAGAAGCUAAAAAUGCUUAUGCUGGACCUAGUUUUAUUGGAGAAUCUGAAAAGGAAGAUGCUAGAGCAUCUGAACAUUAAUGUGCUGGAGCAUCUGAAAAUGAACAUGCAGGAUUCCAACAAAAUCAUAAACAAGGUGAGCAUUCUAAUAGGUCCUCUUCUAAUUUCAAUGAAAAAGAGAAAAGCAAGAAAAGAAAAAGGGUUGUGGAGGAUUCUAGUGAGGCAUUUCUUAAUAGGAUGACGGAAGUUAUGAAAAACUUUAUUGAAAGUCAAGAUAAAAGAAUGGGUGCCUUGAUUGAUAAGAUUAGGGAUCGUGACCGAUCCGAUAUUCCUGGUGAAAUUUAUUCCAUUCUUGAAUCUCCCGCAUUUAAGUUGUGCUCUGUACAAGAACAUAUCAAAGCUACAAUAAUUCUCUGUGAAGAUGUCAUAUGGGUGAACUUUAACGCCAAACAAUGAUGUUCAUGAUUGUCAAUGGUAAACUUUGAAGUAUAGUAAAGUUGUGUAUAUGUGGUGGAACUAGUUUGAUAGUUUUUGCUCGACUAACAACUUUAAAGUUAAACUGUAGUGCUAUUUUUGAUACCUCGGGUUAUGUCCAUACUCUUUUGUUUAUGACUGGUGGGCACGAGGAUGCUAUAUUUUUUGUGUAACUAAUGUCUAUUAAAUAGCUUAAAUCUAGUGUAAAUGUUAAGUGCAUAUGUAAUUAUAUUACUACUAUGACAAUUCUUCAAUUUCUCUUUUUA